CCAAUUCGCCAGCCAUGCAAAAUAAAACAGAAGUCAGAUUAUUGCGCCAAGGCAAAAUUGAGCAUAUAUUGGUCAUGCUGGCCAAUUAUUCAUAGUAAUGUCAAUUCAGAAAAAAAGUUGGAAAUUAUGGCAGAAUCUAGAAACCCAGACUGUUUUUUCAUUCUUGUUUCUCUUCGCUCGUGUUUCAGGACUGGAAGGUGUUGGACAAAAGUGGUUGGAGCCUGUUUUCAGGCUGAGCUACGGUCGAGUGGUUUGAAACUUAAUGAGUUGGGUUGUUGUCAAAUGAAGGUCUUCCUGGUCGAUACCAUCGUAUUUCGAUCCAACUUCAACAUAACAUAAAACAGUAAUUUGAAAGCUUUACCUAUACAAAGGCCAAACAGUGAAUUAAGAAGCUGAGAGUGGCAUUUACAAGACGAACGUACUUGGACAAGUUAUAAAAUUUUUACAAUGAACACAUCGACGAUUCUCCUACUAAUAGCAGUGUACAAGAAUCUGCUCAUUGUAUUUGAUUUUUUAUUACUGAGCUCGGUACCGGAUAUUUCAAAUCGACAGCAGCACCCUCAUACGACGAUUCCUUUGAAAGCAAAGUCACCGUAGGAGUUGGCCAAUGAAACGAAUAUCAUUACUGCUGAGCGCAAAUUCUCGAAAUUCUCUCUACGAAAGCCUCUGAGAGGUUUUUGAAUCUAUAAUACCAUCGAGGCUAGUUUGCCCCGUGCUAAAUCUAUUUAUUUUUAGCCAAAAUAUAGGUUCACUAUUUCAGUCUUUCAUAAACGAAGAAGUCAGUCUAUUAAUCUGCAUUAUAUAGCCAUAUACUGUUAAUUUUAUAAAUUCCUUUUACAUUAUAUGGAACUUUAAUAGAAAUUCACAAACUCCCUCAA